CGGGUGAGUAACGCGUGAGUAACCUGCCUUCAAGAGGGGGAUAACAUUCUGAAAAGAAUGCUAAUACCGCAUGACAUAUCGGAACCACAUGGUUUUGAUAUCAAAGAUUUUAUCGCUUGAAGAUGGACUCGCGUCCGAUUAGUUAGUUGGUGAGGUAACGGCUCACCAAGACCGCGAUCGGUAGCCGGACUGAGAGGUUGAACGGCCACAUUGGGACUGAGACACGGCCCAGACUCCUACGGGAGGCAGCAUG
rnacentral:rRNA from 1 species